rnacentral:lncRNA from 1 species
UAAGCCAUGACUGCACCACUGCACUCCAGCCUGGGUGACAGAGCAAGACCCUGUCUUAAAAAAGAAAAGUUUAUUAACGUGAAUAUCAGUUAGAAAUCUAGUUGUUCAUUGCAAAACUAAACCAGUUUAUAGCAGAAAUAAGCACUUGGAGGGAAAUGUUACAUUUUCACUGCAGGCCUUGAAUCCUUAGCCACCAGCUCCGUGUCCUUCAGUGUUCUGUGGUUCCUGGUUCCAGAGAGAUCACCUGCUCCAAUGUAACGAGUGAAGAGUUCUUUAGAGGUUUAUUUCGAACAACUGGCAAUUCCAGGAAUGAUGGAAUAAAGCAUACGAAGUAGAAGGACUGGAACCUCCAGAAAAAGUACUUUAAGUUACCUACAGGUGAUCCUAGUCAGGUAUGAAUUGAUAAGAAAUGCCUGCACCUUCCCUCCUUCCUAUCUUUCCCUUGCCUACAGAAAAUUAAAAGGCAAAACAAUGGACAUCUACAUAUUCUUCAUUCAGAUCAACCAGUGGCUAGCAUUUGCCACCUUUUGCAGUUUCUUUCUCUUUCCAUAAGUACUUUCUUCUCUGAAUCAUUUGAAAGCAAAUGAAAACAGUAGCCUAAAGUGUCAGUUUCAACCCGAAAAUAACAGCUCUGAUUUCUCAUGGCUCACACUCGUCUGAAAUGACUCGGGUAGAGGCUGAGGAAGGCUGUGUUGUUUGUCUACCUGGGACUACACCUACUGAAAGAAGUUCUCAAGUUCUGAUUGAGUUCUAAAAUUCUUUUGAAGAUUGGAAUUCUUCAUAUGUAAAAAGAGAAGAGAAAGACAUUCUUGAUUUUGGUGACUAGAGUUGUAGAUGCUGGAAGCUUUGCCACUAACAUUGAUGAACCAGAUGCAUGUCACCAGCCCAUCACGGUGAUUCUUAAUGCCGGCACCAUGGGCCGGCACUGCCACGUUUUCCAAGGAACCUGCCAGAGCUCCUGCGGAAGCUGCUCCUCGGGCGAUGGAGUCCCUUUGCUGCUAGGCCCUUCUUCAGUCACCACAGGAUGCCUGCCAUUCAUGAACAGGAAGGAGAGGACGGGCUUUGAAUAAAAAACAGGAUCCAGGAAAUAUUUGUGAGGCCAUUUGGACUUCAGUGUGAAAUGGUGUUAAAAGAUGAAGUCAUUUAUUCAAGAAGUAAACCUCUGCCACCUGGACUGUGCUCAGACAUUUCAUUGAUUUUGUUUAAUAAACAUUUUCUGGCUUUGG